GUUGAGGAUACUUGUGUGCCACAAUGAAUCUUUGCGAUUAUAACAGUUCUUUCAACUAUAGGAACUCAUUCUGAAAAAUUGCAGAAAGCAGUCAGCUCUAUAAUGACUCUCGUAUAACGAUCAAGCUAUAGCUUCAUCAGACUACGGACAUUACUGGGGGAAGUUGCGUCAGAUGAAAAACAGAUCGAUCGAGUUUCCUCGAGCAAGACGUCUAGGAAUUUCCACGCAAACGAUGCAUAGACUCCAACGACGGUUGUGUAUAUUGAUUUCAAAUUAAUUAAUAUUAUUUCUAGAUAUUGACAUUAUGUAUAAUGAAUAUGUAGACGAAGCACAUUAGAAUGGUAUAUAAAGGUAACAAGCAAUAUUACAAUAUUAAUAGUUUUUUAUAUGUGAGCAUAUAGCUUGGUCUAGAGUAAUAAAAAAUUUAUAUAACGUUCCUAAUCAAA